AGGGUUAUAGUUUAAUUAAAACAUUUGAUUUGCAUUCAAAAAAUAUUACAAAUUAAUUUACCUUA
rnacentral:tRNA from 1 species